AUGAACGCUGGCGGCGUGCCUAAUACAUGCAAGUCGAGCGAACAGACGAGGAGCUUGCUCCUCUGACGUUAGCGGCGGACGGGUGAGUAACACGUGGAUAACCUACCUAUAAGACUGGGAUAACUUCGGGAAACCGGAGCUAAUACCGGAUAAUAUAUUGAACCGCAUGGUUCAAUAGUGAAAGACGGUUUUGCUGUCACUUAUAGAUGGAUCCGCGCCGCAUUAGCUAGUUGGUAAGGUAACGGCUUACCAAGGCAACGAUGCGUAGCCGACCUGAGAGGGUGAUCGGCCACACUGGAACUGAGACACGGUCCAGACUCCUACGGGAGGCAGCAGUAGGGAAUCUUCCGCAAUGGGCGAAAGCUUGACGGAGCAACGCCGCGUGAGUGAUGAAGGUCUUCGGAUCGUAAAACUCUGUUAUUAGGGAAGAACAAAUGUGUAAGUAACUAUGCACGUCUUGACGGUACCUAAUCAGAAAGCCACGACUAACUACGUG
rnacentral:rRNA from 1 species